UACGUAGGGGGCUAGCGUUGUCCGGAAUCAUUGGGCGUAAAGAGCGUGUAGGCGGUCUGCUAAGCGUGCGGUGAAAGCCUGGGGCUCAACCCCAGGUCUGCCGUGCGAACUGGGGGACUCGAGCACUGUAGAGGCAGGCGGAAUUCCGGGUGUAGCGGUGGAAUGCGUAGAGAUCCGGAAGAACACCGGUGGCGAAGGCGGCCUGCUGGGCAGUGGCUGACGCUGAGGCGCGACAGCGUGGGGAGCAAACAGG
rnacentral:rRNA from 1 species